rnacentral:rRNA from 1 species
CCUACGGGAGGCUGCAGUGGGGAAUAUUGGACAAUGGGCGAAAGCCUGAUCCAGCCAUGCCGCGUGUGUGAAGAAGGCCUUCGGGUUGUAAAGCACUUUCAGUGGGGAAGAAAGCCUUGGGGCUAAUACCCUCGAGGAAGGACAUCACCCACAGAAGAAGCACCGGCUAACUCCGUGCCAGCAGCCGCGGUAAUACGGAGGGUGCGAGCGUUUAUCGGAAUUACUGGGCGUAAAGCGCGCGUAGGCGGUCUGAUAAGCCGGUUGUGAAAGCCCCGGGCUCAACCUGGGAACGGCAUCCGGAACUGUCAGGCUAGAGUGCAGGAGAGGAAGGUAGAAUUCCCGGUGUAGCGGUGAAGUGCGUAGAGAUCGGGAGGAAUACCAGUGGCGAAGGCGGCCUUCUGGACUGACACUGACGCUGAGGUGCGAAAGCGUGGGUAGCAAACAGGAUUAGAUACCCCAGUAGUC